AAUCUUCAAUCUUAUAGGUCUUUGCGGGUCUAUAGGCUUGGACUUGGAGGCUUGUCGGUAUUAAUGCCCGGCUCCUCUUAAAUGCAUUAGCUUGAUUCCUUGCGGAUCGGCUCUCGGUGUGAUAAUUGUCUACGCCGUGACCGUGAAGCGUUUUGGCAAGCUUCUAACUGUCUUGUAAGAGACACUAUUUAUGAC
rnacentral:misc_RNA from 1 species